GUGGACACUAUGAAGGUAUACUGUCUGAAAGUGGACACUAUGAAGGUAUACUGUCUGAAAGUGGACACUAUGAAGGUAUACUGUCUGAAAGUGGACACUAUGAAGGUAUACUGUCUGAAAGUGGACACGAUGAAGGUAUACUGUCUGAAAGUGGACACUAUGAAGGUAUACUGUCUGAAAGUGGACACUAUGAAGGUAUACUGUCUGAAAGUGGACACUAUGAAGGUAUACUGUCUGAAAGUGGACACUAUGAAGGUAUACUGUCUGAAAGUGGACACUAUGAAGGUAUACUGUCUGAAAGUGGACACUAUGAAGGUGUC